rnacentral:lncRNA from 10 species
GCUCUCACCGGGGUCGAGCCGCGGCGAGGGAACGGAUCGGAGACGCUGCGCCUGCUCAGAAGGUAGCGCAGCGGGGAAAGGCGGGAGAGCGUUAACUUCUGAGCCUGCGCGGUGGGAGUUGCUCAAGCAGGUGGUAGCGACUUGGCUUCCGGGCAGCGGGUAAAGAUAAGAAAACAGAAGACCAGAGCCCAAGGUCACAAAGUUACAACACCUUGGCGUAGUCUUGAUCCAUGACUGGGAGAAGCAAGGACUGCAAGAUGGGGCGCUUCAGCACUGGGGGAGCUACCUGACUCCACUUCCCAAAAAUGGGAUUGAAGACAUACAGAGAACUCAUUCCCGACUCCUAAAAUGAGCAAACUGUCAGGCUCCACCAACAAGAAAAGACUGCAAAUCCUAGGGAUAGACCUGAAGAGCUGGGACUCCAGCUCAACAACUGUGGGGGUUCUCUAGUC